UAGAUAGAUAGAUCUUCGCAUAGGUGU
rnacentral:piRNA from 1 species